AACGCUGGCGGCGCGCAUAACACAUGCAAGUCGAGCGAGAAAGGGGCAACCUGAGUAAAGCGGCGUACGGGUGAGUAACACGUGGAUCAUCUACCCUUUUGUGGGGAAUAACUCUGGGAAACCGGAGCUAAUACCGCAUAAGUCCGAGAGGAGAAAGCAGCAAUGCGCAGAAGGAGGAGUCCGCGGCCGAUUAGCUAGUUGGUGAGGUAAUGGCUCACCAAGGCAACGAUCGGUAGCCGGCCUGAGAGGGCACACGGUCACACUGGCACUGAGACACGGGCCAGACUCCUACGGGAGGCAGCAGUGGGGAAUCUUGCACAAUGGGGGAAACCCUGAUGCAGCGACGCCGCGUGAGCGAUGAAGCCCUUCGGGGUGUAAAGCUCUUUCGACGGGAACGAUAAUGACGGUACCCGGAGAAGAAGCUGCGGCUAACUACGUGCCAGCAGCCGCGGUAAUACGUAGGCAGCAAGCGUUGUUCGGAGUUACUGGGCGUAAAGAGUACGUAGGCGGUUUGCUAAGUCUGGUGUGAAAUCUCCUGGCUUAACUGGGAGGGUGCGCUAGAUACUGGCAGGCUUGAGUAUGGGAGAGGAGAGUGGAAUUCCUGGUGUAGCGGUGAAAUGCGUAGAUAUCAGGAGGAACGCCGGUGGUGUAGACGGCUCUCUGGACCAUUACUGACGCUGAGGUACGAAAGCGUGGGUAGCAAACAG
rnacentral:rRNA from 1 species